rnacentral:rRNA from 1 species
CAGGCCAGCAUCGGUUUUCAUAGGGGGAUAAAAGCCUUGGGAAUGUGGCUCCUCCGGGAGUGUUAUAACCCAGGGUAUAAUACCCCUAAGGAGACCGAGGUUCGCGCUCUGCAAGGAUGCUGGCGUAAUGGUCAUCAGCGA